rnacentral:rRNA from 1 species
AGUCGAGCGGACAGAAGGGAGCUUGCUCCCGGAUGUUAGCGGCGGACGGGUGAGUAACACGUGGGUAACCUGCCUGUAAGACUGGGAUAACUCCGGGAAACCGGAGCUAAUACCGGAUAGUUCCUUGAACCGCAUGGUUCAAGGAUGAAAGACGGUUUCGGCUGUCACUUACAGAUGGACCCGCGGCGCAUUAGCUAGUUGGUGGGGUAAUGGCUCACCAAGGCGACGAUGCGUAGCCGACCUGAGAGGGUGAUCGGCCACACUGGGACUGAGACACGGCCCAGACUCCUACGGGAGGCAGCAGUAGGGAAUCUUCCGCAAUGGACGAAAGUCUGACGGAGCAACGCCGCGUGAGUGAUGAAGGUUUUCGGAUCGUAAAGCUCUGUUGUUAGGGAAGAACAAGUGCGAGAGUAACUGCUCGCACCUUGACGGUACCUAACCAGAAAGCCACGGCUAACUACGUGCCAGCAGCCGCGGUAAUACGUAGGUGGCAAGCGUUGUCCGGAAUUAUUGGGCGUAAAGGGCUCGCAGGCGGUUUCUUAAGUCUGAUGUGAAAGCCCCCGGCUCAACCGGGGAGGGUCAUUGGAAACUGGGAAACUUGAGUGCAGAAGAGGAGAGUGGAAUUCCACGUGUAGCGGUGAAAUGCGUAGAGAUGUGGAGGAACACCAGUGGCGAAGGCGACUCUCUGGUCUGU